rnacentral:rRNA from 1 species
AUUGAACGCUGGCGGCAGGCCUAACACAUGCAAGUCGAACGAGUGGCGGACGGGUGAGUAAUGUCUGGGAAACUGCCCGAUGGAGGGGGAUAACUACUGGAAACGGUAGCUAAUACCGCAUACCAUCGGAUGUGCCCAGAUGGGCUUGGCUAGUGGGUGGGGUAACGCCUCACCUAGGCGACGAUCCCUAGCUGGUCUGAGAGGUUGACCGGCAACACUGGAAUGGCUACACGGUCCCGACUCCAACGGGAGGCAGCAGUGGGGAAUAUUGGACAUGGGGCGCAAGCCUGAUGCAGCCAUGCCGCGUGUAUGAAGAAGGCCUUCGGGUUUUAAAGUACUUUCAGCGGGGAGGCGUUACUCGCAGAAGAAGCACCGGCUAACUCCGUGCCAGCAGCCGCGGUAAUAC